CCAAUAGCGUAUAUUAAAGUUGUUGCAGUUAAAAAGCUCGUAGUUGAACCUUAGGCCCGUGCGGGUGGUCCGUCCUCAGGGCGAGCACUGCCUCGUCGCGGGUCUCACCUUCUGGCGAGCGUCGAUGCCAUUCACUUGGUGUCGGCGGGAACCAGGACCUUUACCUUGAAAAAAUUAGAGUGCUCAAAGCGGGCUCGCACGCUUGAAUACAUUAGCAUGGAAUAAUGAAAUAGGACGACGGUUCUAUUUUGUUGGUUUCCGGGACAGUCGUAAUGAUUAAUAGGGAUAGUUGGGGGCAUUCGUAUUCAAUUGUCAGAGGUGAAAUUCUUGGAUUUAUUGAGGACGAACUACUGCGAAAGCAUUUGCCAAGGAUGUUUUCAUUAAUCAAGAACGAAAGUUGGGGGAUCGAAGACGAUCAGAUACCGUCGUAGUCUCAACCAUAAACUAUGCCGACUGGGAAUCGGGCGAUGUUAUUUUUCGUGACUCGCUCGGCGCCCCGAG
rnacentral:rRNA from 1 species